GAUGAACGCUGGCGGCGUGCUUAACACAUGCAAGUCGAACGGGAUCCCAGGAGCUUGCUCCUGGGUGAGAGUGGCGAACGGGUGAGUAAUGCGUGACCGACCUGCCCCAUACACCGGAAUAGCUCCUGGAAACGGGUGGUAAUGCCGGAUGCUCCAGUUGACCGCAUGGUCCUCUGGGAAAGCUUUUGCGGUAUGGGAUGGGGUCGCGUCCUAUCAGCUUGAUGGCGGGGUAACGGCCCACCAUGGCUUCGACGGGUAGCCGGCCUGAGAGGGCGACCGGCCACAUUGGGACUGAGAUACGGCCCAGACUCCUACGGGAGGCAGCAGCGGGGAAUAUUGCACAAUGGGCGCAAGCCUGAUGCAGCGACGCCGCGUGCGGGAUGACGGCCUUCGGGUUGUAACCCGCUUUUGACUGGGAGCAAGCCCUUCGGGGUGAGUGUACCUUUCGAAUAAGCACCG
rnacentral:rRNA from 1 species